rnacentral:rRNA from 1 species
UGCGUAGGGCGCAAGCGUUGUCCGGAAUUAUUGGGCGUAAAGAGCUCGUAGGCGGUUUGUCGCGUCUGCUGUGAAAACCUAAGGCUCAACCUUGGGCUUGCAGUGGGUACGGGCAGACUAGAGUGCGGUAGGGGUGACUGGAAUUCCUGGUGUAGCGGUGGAAUGCGCAGAUAUCAGGAGGAACACCGAUGGCGAAGGCAGGUCACUGGGCCGCAACUGACGCUGAGGAGCGAAAGCAUGGGGAGCGAACAGG